rnacentral:rRNA from 1 species
GACGAACCGUGCGAACGUUGUUCGGAAUCACUGGGCUUAAAGGGCGCGUAGGCGGGCUGUCAAGUCUGGGGUGAAAUGCCGCGGCUCAACCGUGGAACUGCCUCAGAUACUGACGGCCUCGAGGAAGGUAGGGGCAUGCGGAACUGUAGGUGGAGCGGUGAAAUGCGUUGAUAUCUACAGGAACUCCGGUGGCGAAAGCGGCGUGCUGGACCUUUUCUGACGCUGAGGAGCGAAAGCCAGGGGAGCAAACGGG